rnacentral:pre_miRNA from 1 species
UAUUAAAAAAAUCAUCUAUUUUUACUAUUAAAAAAUGACUUGGUUGAUAGAAUGACUAAGAAGUUACACGUGGUACGUAUAUCUCAUUUGGACGUAUAAUGACUAAUUUUUAAUAGUAGAAAUGAAUAAAAUUUUUAAAA